rnacentral:rRNA from 1 species
UCCAAGCGUUAUCCGGAAUCAUUGGGUUUAAAGGGUCCGUAGGUGGAUAAUUAAGUCAGAGGUGAAAUCCUGCAGCUCAACUGUAGAAUUGCCUUUGAUACUGGUUAUCUUGAGUUACUAUGAAGUAGUUAGAAUAUGUAGUGUAGCGGUGAAAUGCAUAGAUAUUACAUAGAAUACCAAUUGCGAAGGCAGAUUACUAAUAGUACACUGACACUGAUGGACGAAAGCGUGGGUAGCGAACGGGAUUAGAUACCCCGGUAGUCCACGCCGUAAACGAUGGUCACUAGCUGUUCGGACUUUUUGUCUGAGUGGCUAAGCGAAAGUGAUAAGUGACCCACCUGGGGAGUACGUUCGCAAGAAUGAAACUCAAAGGAAUUGACGGGGGCCCGCACAAGCGGUGGAGCAUGUGGUUUAAUUCGAUGAUACGCGAGGAACCUUACCAGGGCUUAAAUGUAAGUUGCAUAAGUUAGAGAUAGCUUUUUCUUCGGACUACUUACAAGGUGCUGCAUGGUU